CAUUUGUGUAUGUAGUCAUGGACACCGACUUAAAAAAUGAACAAUGCUACCCCUUCAGCUGCAGGUGCAGGGUACUAUGUCUGGACUUGGCUUUUGAUUUCAAUUCGUCUUGCUUUUUUGUACUAAAUCUUUGAUUCGUGCUUUUUCUCUUUUCAAUAGUAAAUCAUCUUGCAAUACCCAUGGUGCCACACGUGUUUUAUUCACCAAUCCUGUCAAGAGAAAUUAAAAUCAAGACGCCGAUUAGCUUAGCCUUGGGCUGCUCCUUUUCUGCCUUCUGUUUCCUGUAUACACCCAUCUUUCUUUGAUGUACCUAAAUUUCUUUUUGUUGUGUUAGGUUGACAGUGACAGUAGAUGGAGCUUCUCUGACCGCUACUGAAGACACCGCUGAACAGCUUAACCAGACAAAGACAAAGUGCUAUUAUGUAGGCAUGGUUUAAAAACUAUAGCCUUUGGCUGGUCAAGUAGCCUUGCCAAAGCGUUUGUGUAAUCUCUACAAGUGGUAUGAAGCAAAUUCUAUGUAUAUAACACACACGAUGCAGAUAAUAAUUAUAUAGAAGCAGAGAAUCAACCUUGCUAGAGCGUUUGUCAAAUCUCUACUCAAGUAGCCUUGCCAAACUUUAUCUGUUGUGUUCUUUACAUGUUGUUUCAGUACAUUCUCUAGCGUAAAUUUCCUUUUCAGUCAAGCAAAGUUUUCU
rnacentral:lncRNA from 1 species